CUCAGGGAACAGGCUUGAGUCAGUCACCGUGACAGAGAGGAAGAGCGCGAGGCCAGAAUGCUCCAGGCGGGGAACGUGCUCCGAGAGCCCGCGCCGGCUCUGACGUCAUAGGCGUGCGUCGGAGCAGGUGCGCUAGCGUCGCCCAGAGGGCCGUCCUCGGUCGUGGGGGAGGGUGGCGUCUGUGUGGAGUUCGACGAAGUGCGUGUGGAAAUGAGGCCCUGACCAGACAGGGGCGUUGACGGUUCCGUUGAAAAUGAUUCAAGGAGUGACAAAAAGUUUAAGGAGCCGCUAGAAUUAAACCACCUUGUUCGUGCUUUCUUUUGAGAUAGGCUCGCGAGAGAAACGUGAUAGAAGUCUGUGCCUGAGUCUAGAAAGUUCCUUCCGCUUAAAUCUGAGCAAGAGUGGGUAUCCGUGUACGUAUGACUGACUCACCUUGCUGUGCAGCAAGGAACCAACAACACGGUAAAGUGACUCUACGCCAAUAAAAAUCAAUUUUAAAAGAAAGAAUAAAAUAAGACAGAAGUGUGGGGUAUUGCUUCUGAGAUUUUGUUUAAGAAGACUACAUUGCAAGGACUUCCCUGGUGAUCCAGGGGUUAGGACCCGGCACUUCCACUGCCCAGGGCCCGGGUUGGAUCCCGGGUGGGGGAACUAAGAUCAUCCCACAAGCCGCGUGGUGAGGCCCCCGAAAAAAAACAGAAAGUAAAAAACGACUGCUAGCUUGCAUACCUUGCUCUCUUGCUCCCUCUGAGGGAAGCCAGCUCUCAUCUUGACAGCUACCUUACAGAGAAGCCCACAUGGCGAGGAACAUCAGCCUCUGGCCAAUAACUAACCUUGAGGAAGUGAAGCAUUCAGUUCAACAGCCUGAGGAGCUGAAUCCUGUCAACAGACAUGGCGGGGUGAGCUCGAAAGCAGAUCCGCCCCACUCAGGUCUUCAGGUGACACUUUGGCCCAGGCAACACCUUAAGGGCCACUCUGCUAGAGUCCUUGAGGCAGAGCACCCCAGGUAAAGGUUGCCUGAUUCCUGACCCUCCGAAAAUGAGAUAACACAUGUUUGUUGUUUUCGGCCACUACAUUUUGGCAUCAUUUGUUCUGCAGCAGCGGGAAACUAAUACACUCUCUUACAGUCGCCAAGGUGUGGAAGCAGCCUAAGUGCCCAUCAGCAGAUGAGUGGAUAAAGAAGACGUGGAAUAUAUAUACACAAUGGAAUAGUA